rnacentral:rRNA from 1 species
UGCCAGACUCCUACGGGAGGCAGCAGUGGGGAAUAUUGGGCAAUGGGGGAAACCCUGACCCAGCAACGCCGCGUGAGGGAAGAAGGUUUUCGGAUCGUAAACCUCUGUCCUUGGUGAAGAGAAGAAGACGGUAGCCAAGGAGGAGGCCCCGGCUAACUACGUGCCAGCAGCCGCGGUAAUACGUAGGGGGCAAGCGUUGUCCGGAAUGAUUGGGCGUAAAGGGCGCGUAGGCGGCCUGGUAAGUCUGGAGUGAAAGUCCUUCUUUUAAGGAGGGAAUUGCUUUGGAUACUGCUGGGCUUGAGUGCAGGAGAGGUAAGCGGAAUUCCCAGUGUAGCGGUGAAAUGCGUAGAGAUUGGGAGGAACACCAGUGGCGAAGGCGACUUACUGGCACAUAACUGACGCUGAGGAGCGAAAGCGUGGGUAGCAAACAGGAUUAGAUACCCCUGUAUAU